rnacentral:rRNA from 1 species
UACCGUGAAAAAAUUAGAGUGUUCAAAGCAGGCAGAUCCAAUUUUCUGCCACCGAAUACAUUAGCAUGGGAUAAUGGAAUAGGACCCUGUCCUCCUAUUUUCAGUUGGUUUUGGCAGCGCGAGGACUAGGGUAAUGAUUAAUAGGGAUAGUUGGGGGCAUUAAUAUUUAAUUGUCAGAGGUGAAAUUCUUGGAUUUAUGAAAGAUUAACUUCUGCGAAAGCAUCUGCCAAGGAUGUUUUCAUUAAUCAAGAACGAAAGUUAGGGGAUCGAAGACGAUCAGAUACCGUCGUAGUCUUAACCAUAAACGAUGCCGACCAGCGAUUAGGAGACGUUGAAUACAAAACACCACCAUCGGCGCGGUCGUCCUUGGCGUCUCGGUCCUUCACGGGGCCGGGGCGCGGGGGCGGCUUAGCCCGGUGGCACCGGUGAAUGACUCCCCUAGCAC